rnacentral:rRNA from 1 species
CUGGUUGAUCCUGCCAGUAGCAUAUGCUUGUCUCAAAGAUUAAGCCAUGCAUGUCUAAGUACAAGCCGCUAGUACGGCGAAACCGCGAAUGGCUCAAUAAAUCAGUUAUGGUUCCUUAGAACAGUUCAAUCCUACUUGGAUAACUGUGGUAAUUCUAGAGCUAAUACAUGCACCCAAGCCCCGACUCGGGACGCAAGUCUCGAGGAAGGGCGCUUUUAUUAGAUCAAAACCAGUCGAGAGCUUCGGUUCUCGUUAAGUUUGGUGACUCUGGAUAACUUCACGCUGAUCGCACGGUCUUUGC